GUUCUGUUCAUUCCCUCUGGGGCACCCGGCAUUGGCUGCUGUUGGAAAACAGGAUACUGGGCUAGAUGGACCUUUGGUCUGGCCCAGUGUGGCCUUUCAUAGGUAAGACAGUGUGACCCCUGGAGGGUCCUGUGUCCCAUCUUGGUCUGAGAGGUGGCAUGCUGGGAUCCAUCGUCUCUCUGGACCGCACCUCUACAGAGAAAUAAGGGCAGCUGCAAUCUGCCCUGUUUUGUACAAAUCAGGGCGCUGACACCCGUCUGUCCUCUGGCAAGCUGCUCAUAUAGCCCCUUGUCUGGGCAAAUUUUGGGCAGGCCUGCUUUAGAUGCUGGCAGCCAUCCUGGCUCUAUCACAGAUGGAUUUUGCCCACCCCCCGAGCUGAAGUCUGCGCCUGCUGGAUUGUAUGCAAUACCUAGCGUGGCUAUUUAUAUUUUUAGCUUCCUAUUAUAAGGGCUGACAUGGGCCAGAGGGAGUGUGCUCUCAUGGUUAGAGCAGGGGACUGGGAGUCAGGACCCCUGGCUUCUAUCCUUGGCUCUGGCAUCAACUCACUGGGUGAGUCCCUGCCCUGCUCUGUGCCUCAAUUUACCCAUCCAUGUAAUGGAGAUAUUGAUGCACACUCCCCUCCCAGGGGAGCUGUGAAACAAUCCAAGAAUAUAUAUAGCACUCUGAGCUUCUCAGAUAUCAGACACUACGGAGGGGUAACAAAUUACUGUUAUCUGAGCACUCCCCUGAGACCUGCUGUGGGGGGAGGAAGGAGCAGGUCCUGAACCCUGUUAAACAGAAGCACAAAUGAAGACAGCUCUUCAGGGCUCACUCCCUUUCAGUACAUCCUACCUGAGCUCCUAUAACACGCCAAGGUAAAGCUCCCAGUUUCCAGAGGAAACCAGGGUAGGGCCUGGAACCAUCCUGUGCUGGUGUAUUGGCUACACUGGCGGCACUGAAUUCCUGGAUCUCCCAUGGGGUGGGGUAUAUGUACAUGGGGUCCUGUUACCCUACGUGAGAAAGUGGAAAUUAUCUGUAAUAGUUGUAUGAAGCCUAGGUGUGCCUCAGUUUCCCCAUGUCUGUUGCAUUGCUCCCCAGUGGGUGCAGAAGGGUUAACACCGCACCUGGAACAGUGCAGGAGACAGGAAGUGUGCUUGUGUCACCUAGCUCCGGGUGGAAUGAAUAGAGUCAUUCAAGAAUUGGCUGAAACUGACCCAAAUCAGCAGAGAGUCAACCAAGACAAAGAGAGCCCCAGGGACUGACCAACCAACACCCAACAGAGGAAGCUCCAGCAGGUGGGACACUUGAACUGAGCUGGAGAAUAAAGGGAAAAGUGGGCAGGUGACCAGGAGAAGGGCUGGCUUUGGAGGGCGUUGGCUGCUCUCACCUGGGCGCCAGCGGACGAAAGACAGAGAGCUCCAGCCCAGGAAUGAAGCCCACAGUAGCUUGUCUGGCUCGUCACAGCACCGGCUGGGCUAGGGCUUAACUUCGGCCUUGCUUUGCUGACUUAAGGCCUCACAGAGACUGGAGCGAGGUGACUCAGGAAUGGUGGCCCUGCUUGGAAAAGGCCCCGGCUGUGUCGGCUCCCUGGGAGCACUGAGCCCCUAACGAGCUACAGGACAAGCCUCCCGCAGGAGUCUAGACUCGCUGCAGGGAGCCAGAGAGAGAGAGACAGGGAUGGCUGGUGCCGAUGGCCCGGUCUCAGUGUCGUGGAGGCCACGGGCCUGCCCCUGUGGAGCUGUGUGGAUCCUGGGGACCUGGCCCGUUAAAGGGCUCACUCCCGGGAGACAGGUUCCAGGCUGGGCAUAAACCAGCCCCCGUGAUGCCGUGACACCCCCCAGGAUCCCAAGGGGCAGGACUGGAGGAUCUCCCUCUCCCCUGGUGUGCGUGGGAAGGAAAUGGGGGGGGUCUGGCCCGACCCCCUGCAAGGAUUUGAUCCUCCAUGGGCACAGCCGCAUCCAUGCUGGGUGGAGAAGGCUGGGCAUAUCCCCUUCCGUACCGCCUGCCCACCAGCCCAGAGCAGCUCUGACUGGGGGGGGGGGGGUGCACCCCUCAUCCCGUCUCACUCCUCGUCCCCCCGCCAUGGCUCUGGCAACGAAUCCCAGGGACACAAAUAGCUCCUUUUGCCCAGCCAGCCCGGUUGGGUUGCCUUGGGAACAGGAGCUCGGCUUUUGAUGUCACUGGGAUGGUUGCUACGGCGACUGGCCCAGAUUGCCUGUCCCUGCAUGAGGUCACUAUUGCCAUGGAGACAGACUGGGUUGAGCGAGAGCCCUGGUGCUUUGGCGGUAUGGGGAGGGAGGUAGAUGGAGCCGCCUGAGCCGGCCCAGCCCCUUGGCAGCUCCAGCGUGGCGGGCGCAACCAGCUCCCAAAAUGCAACCGCAUCACACGUCCAGCUGCACAGCCCUCAUGUGGGACAGGAAGCCUGGCUCUGCCGCCCUUCACGGUGACCCUCGAUUACACGGAUGACCCCUGGGUCAGAGAGCAGGGGAUGGGGGUGGGAUAUGGAAAUGCAGUUAAAGAGCAAGAGAAGCGUCAGUGUCAGAAGGGUAUGGAGGAUCAGAGGACACCAGAGUACCAGAGGAGUAUUAUGGUCACAGAGACAUGGUAGAAUAUUCCAGGGUUACUAGAGGUACUAAAACUUCAGAGCAAUACUGUGGUGCCAGAGGUGUAUCAGAGGCAUUAGAGUAUCAGAGGGGUACUAGAGAGACUAGAGUCACAAUGAUACUAGAGAUUAUCUCAGAGUUACUAGAGCUAUGAGAGUAUCAGUAUUGUGGUGUUAGAGUACUAGAAAAAUUAGACUAGCAGAGGGGUACUAGAGCAUCAAAAGUACUACUAUAGAUACUAGUCUAUCAGAGUCAGAGUGGUGGUGGAGAGUUCUAGAGUAUCAGAUGAGUAUUAGAGAGCCAGGCGGUACUUUAGAUACUAAAGUGUCCAAGGAGUACUACUAGAGGUACUAGAAGCUCAGAGUGGCACUAGAGAGUCAGAGAGAUAUAAGAGGAGUACUGGGGUAUUCGCAUGUCAGAGGUAUACUAAAGGUACUAGAGGAUCAGGGUGUACUGGAGGUACUAGAGUAUCAGGGUGGAGGGAAUAGAGGCAUUAGUUUAUGUGGAAUAAUGUACUAGAUUAUCAGAGGGUGUUAGGGACAGUAGAGCAUCAGACAAGUACUAGUACUAGAGUAUCUGAGGGGUAAGAAUGGCACUAUAGCAUGAGUGAGGUAAUAGAAAUGCUAGAGUCAUAGGUACUACUAGAGUGUCUGAGGGUACUAGAGUAUUGGAGUAUCAGAGGGACACUAGACGUGGAACAUUGGGUCACGGAUAUUAGGAUAAAGAGUGCAUUAGGAAUUCUUAAACCAAACUGAUACUGAGAGUAGGUUCUGUUUUACAAAGGACUCUGAGAUUUCAAAGUUUGGCUUCAUUUAGAAAUGGCAUGAAACCUGAAAACUUGAACGUCUCCACAAAGGACAAUUCCAGAAAAAAAUGGUUUGGGAUCGAUCGAAACAUUUCGAUUUCAACGUUAUUAUAUUAUAUUACAUUAUAUUACAUUAUAUAUAAAAUACAGAAUAAAUCAAUUCAAAAUGAAAAGUCAUUUAAAAGAAAUCAAAACAUUUCAGUCCGAAAAUGUGGAAACUGAACAUUUCAGCGUUGUCAGAACUUGUUUUUUUCCCAGAAUGAAAGUUGGCGAAAUGGCCACGAUUCUGCAACAUAUUUCGAUUUUGACGGAGCUGCACUUGCUGACAGUAAAUGGUUCAGUCACAGUUUUCCUGCCCAGCUCGAAUGGUCGUGGUGAACCAGCAUGUGCAGAACCAAGAGAGAACGCCAGCCGAUCUAAACAGAGAGGCAUGAGUUACCCUCUCAAGCUGACAGCUGGGGGUCGCAGAAGCGCUGGAGUCUGAGAUCCGGAUGCCGCUGGGAACCCCUGGAGAGCCCCAGCGAAGGUGUCUGAUAGUGAAUGCCAGCCACUAAGUGCACGUGGCUUAACUGCAUAUAAUCCAUUUAACAGCACAAGUCACCUGGGGCCUUGAUCUGUCCUCAUUAGAUUAAGUGGGGCAUCCACCUAGCUUAACGUCAUAGCAGCUAACUGCAGCAUUUGGGGAUCUGCAGGCCAAGUGGGGUACACACGGUGACUUUAGCAGUAUCAUCGCUCUGGCUAAUGCUUUGCACCUUCCGGCCUGGGAUCUCAAAGCGCUCUGUGGAGAUUCGGUAAUGAAACCUCACACACCGUCCCUUUGAAAUAGGGAAAGGUUUGACAGGGAACACCCCCCUUCCACUGAAAUGCAGCCACUUCUGGGGUGGAGUAGGGGCAGGAAGGCUUCAAAGGGUAAAGCUACACUACCUACCAGUGCAGGACAGGAAGUGAAGAAGGAUCCUGUAUCCGGUGGAAAGUGCGGGGUGAGUUUAGGUAGGCAGAACAAAGCAUUCUGCACUGGAGGUUGGUCAGGAUGCGGGAGCUUACGGGCCGCCUCUGACCAAAACACCCAUGGGUGGGACCCUGAAUGGUCUCAAACAUACAGGACCUUUCCAGCUCACCCAGAUGACAGCGAUUCCAGCAGUGCAGCAUUCCCAGACCACCCUGGGAAAAGGGGGUCAGCGGCCACUCAGAGGGGAGAGCGCCUCCUAUCGAGUCAUGUAUAUUGCACCCUGCAGCCCAGUGCCCUGUAGCACAGCUCUGCGACACUGGGGUCAGCACUGACUUAGAGGGGAGAGCGCCCCCUACUGAGUCACACUACUUCCUCCAGCACAGCACCCCCAGCAACACAGGGAGGUUAGGUGCUGUCUAGGAGAGAAGAGCGCCCCCCACUGAAUCACACAUUUCCUGCCACAGCCUGGCGUUUUCCUUGGGGGUGGCCCAGGAGUCUAAUACUCCCCUGAGUGGUUAGCUUAUGGGGUCAGCUGGGAUCCCAGCACAGUGGCCUGACUGCAGGCCAAGGCUGAAGCGCAAGCACACGGUAGGUGUAACGCACAUAUACGUAAGCUCAGGAGCUGCUGUAUCCACUCCAGCGAAUUGUUCAUUGGCGUCAAGAUGGAAACUUGUUAUUUCAGUGCAGGAAAUAAAACCGGCCGUUCCCUACUCCGUUUA